AUUGAAAAUAUCCUAGCAGAAGUAAGCAGCGGUCUAGCAGAAGCUGUAAAAUGCCCCUUGGAUAGCGGCUAUGCUCAGAACCGUUGCGAAAUUGGGGGUAUAUAUCUUCGCAAAUAAUAGCGGGAGCAGAGGCGCGAAAUUUCACCCACACUCCCUGUGCCGCAACAUCCCCAGCGACUACCCCCAGAAACGCCGCUAGUUCCCGCGAGUUGAGCCUGAUAACACGCCAAUCAAGAGCGAGAGCAGAGGCGUGAAACCUUGAACUCACCCAGAAACCCCCAAUUUUUCAAGCUUUUGCGUCUCAACCACAAUCCCCAAAACCCAAACCUCCCUCAUUCACGGCGUGCGAAAUCCCCGACCUCUGCUCCACCCUGGGCCUCUGUGUGGGUGGUUGAGUCGCGCAGCUGCCAUCCGUGCUUCUCUCACUGGCCUCGAAGUGGAGCAUAUCCUCGAUCGUGCGUGAAACCGAUUCAUUUGAAACUAAAAGUGUGUAACGGCUCUUCAACGAAGAAGGUUCUGGUGUAGGAAGCAACGUCGUAAGGUGUCGAGACUGCGAUCAAGGUUAUUUUACUUUCAACUUUGUCAUUUGUUAUGGGUAUGAUGAUUUAGAUUUAUUAUUAUUGUUCCAUUCAUAUUUUGCCUAUGUGAGAUAUAGAAUUGAUCAUUCUCUUAGUUAGGAAAAAAAAAAUAAUAAGAAGUAAUUGAGACUGGUACAACAUAUGAUAUUGUUAAGGUAUAAUAUUCAGCAUUGACAACUUCUCAACACUGCCACUUGUUCAGCGUUAUUGCACGUAUACAUUUUCACUACUUUGAUGAGAGUUCUCAAUCUGAAAAGCAUAUUCAGAUCAAAGGACUUAAUAUGUAACUAAUCAAUAAUUCAGUAGGAGCAGCCAUGCUUAAUAUUCUGUAGAUAUUGUACAAGCUAUUACCCAAGAAAAAUAAAUUGAAGUCAUCCUAUAGAAAUUCAUACUUUGUAUAUAUUUGUACCCAAGUUGAU